CCAAGAAUGAAGACAAGCCAUGCCUCACUCUGCACUGUGGGCUCUAACCUGCAGACAUGAAGCAGACACCAAAUGUGGCAUUUACAGUCUCUGCAGUGUGAAGAAAGUCUGCAAAGAAUAAACUUCAUUGGUAGUACUGAUGUGCUGGCAGUAUAUGAAUUAAGGAAGUCACAGACUGGGUGAAAAAGUAAUAAGAUAUUUACAGUCAAAUUUUCUCUGGAAUAAGUCCAUAAAAACUAAAGGAGAAAGAAAAAAGGAAGAAUGAGGCCAGAAGAUCCAUUGGAAGGUUUACCAGUUCUAGUUUGAGCAAGACGAUAUCUGAGAAGAUGGCUGCUAUAUAGAUACCUACAUAGUUAGGUCAGUUAUUA